GAUCAUGGCUCAGGAUGAACGCUGGCGGCGUGCUUAACACAUGCAAGUCGAGCGAAGCACUUAGGAAAGAUUCUUCGGAUGAUUUCCUAUUUGACUGAGCGGCGGACGGGUGAGUAACGCGUGGGUAACCUGCCUCAUACAGGGGGAUAACAGUUAGAAAUGACUGCUAAUACCGCAUAAGACCACAGCACCGCAUGGUGCAGGGGUAAAAACUCCGGGUGGGUAUGAGAUGGACCCGCG
rnacentral:rRNA from 1 species